UGAGGAAUAUUGGUCAAUGGGCGGGAGCCUGAACCAGCCAAGCCGCGUGAGGGAGGAAGGCCCUAUGGGUCGUAAACCUCUUUUGUCAGGGAACAAAAGCGAGUAUGUAUACUAGUCUGAGUGUACCUGAAGAAAGAGCAUCGGCUAACUCCGUGCCAGCAGCCGCGGUAAUACGGAGGAUGCGAGCGUUAUCCGGAUUUAUUGGGUUUAAAGGGUGCGUAGGCGGCGGUGCAAGUCAGCGGUAAAAGCCCGGGGCUCAACCCCGGCGAGCCGUUGAAACUGCAGUGCUAGAGAAGGCGAGAGGUACGCGGAAUGCGCAGUGUAGCGGUGAAAUGCUUAGAUAUUGCGCAGAACUCCGAUUGCGAAGGCAGCGUACUGGCGCCUGACUGACGCUGAGGCACGAAAGCGUGGGGAUCGAACAGGAUUAGAUACCC
rnacentral:rRNA from 1 species